UUACUCUGGUUUCUCUUCAGAUCGUAUAAAUCUUUCGCCUUUUACUAAAGAUUUCCGUGGAGAGGAACAAGCACGAGUGUCGUGGAAAAGUUCCUGGUAUAAUACAAUACAAGCAGAUA